rnacentral:rRNA from 1 species
GGAGGGUGCAAACGUUGUCCGGAAUUACUGGGCGUAAAGGGCGCGUAGGCGGACUUGUAAGUCAGGAGUGAAAACUCAGGGGGCUCAACCCUGAGCCUGCUUCUGAAACUGCAAGUCUUGAGGACCGGAGAGGAAAGUGGAAUUCCUAGUGUAGCGGUGGAAUGCGUAGAUAUUAGGAAGAACACCAGUGGCGAAGGCGACUUUCUGGACGGUACCUGACGCUGAGGCGCGAAAGCUAGGGGAGCAAACAGGAUUAGAUACCCUGGUAGUCCUAGCUGUAAACGAUGAGUGCUAGGUGGUGGUAGUUUCAACGCUUUCACUGCCGAAGCUAACGCAUUAAGCACUCCGCCUGGGGAGUACGGCCGCAAGGUUG